rnacentral:rRNA from 1 species
UACGGAGGGUGCAAGCGUUAAUCGGAAUCACUGGGCGUAAAGCGCGCGUAGGCCGUCUUUUAAGUCGGACGUGAAAGCCCUCGGCUCAACCGGGGAACUGCGUUCGAUACUGGGAGACUUGAGUCCUGGAGAGGGUGGCGGAAUUCCGGGUGUAGGAGUGAAAUCCGUAGAUAUCCGGAGGAACACCGGUGGCGAAGGCGGCCACCUGGACAGGUACUGACGCUGAGGCGCGAAAGCGUGGGGAGCAAAUAGG